rnacentral:rRNA from 2 species
GCCAAAGAUCACCUCGCUGAGUACAUCGGUUCUCGUUCGAUCACCGAAAUUAAGCAGCGUCGGGAGCGUUUAGUACUAAGGUAGGGAACCGCUUGGGAUACACCGCGUGUCGUUGGCA